CCCGAACUGGUGAGGGCGAUUCAGAGCAGGCCUGAGAUCUAACUCAGAGGCCUCUCUACCCAUAAGGAUGAAGAAAACAGAAGCUAGAGGGUCAGGUUUGACUGCCUCAAAAUAAGCUGAGCUGGAAUGGGAACACAGGCUCUUAAUCUCCAGUUCAGAGGUCUUUUCAGCAGAGUAUUUGGAAUCAAGAGUAUGAAGCUGGAGAAACCAGAUCAGAUUUAGGUCAUGAGAAAGUGUACGAGUGACCAGGAAGGGGGCCCAAGGAAGUGAAUCAGGACACUCCCACCAAGGAUGAAAUUCAACCCAGCCGACUCCAGUCCAAGCAAAGCCUCAUGGUCUUCACCCACUGGGAGUGAGGGGAUAAACAACUCCCCGAAGUUGCCCCCUGGGAAGCUGAGGGAACUCUGAGAAAUGCAAGUUAAAAUGUAAAGGAAGAGAACAGCAGUCUAUAGAAAUGAUAUAACCCAGAGAAAGCUUUUCAACAUGGACACAAAGAACAUUUCAAAAGCACUGAUGAACUCAAAGGGAGUUCUGGAGGGCAGAAAAGACGUGUGUGCAGGGAGAAGGCCCCCUGCAUUUCUGGCACCAAGUCAACUGUCCAGUUUGACUACAUGACCAUGGCUUGGUCAGUCCUUGAGGCCAGAUACGGCUGACUGACUCACAGUCAACUCUCUGGGCCGACAGAAAUGGAAACCUGGGCCCUAACACCAGCUUAAGGUUGAAGCUCUGCCAUCCUGAGGGCACUGGUCUACUGGUCAACAGCCAGACACUCCCAGCGUCGCUUCCAUGUGCUUCAAAC
ensembl:lncRNA